rnacentral:rRNA from 1 species
GUUAAGCGACUAAGCGUACACGGUGGAUGCCCUGGCAGUCAGAGGCGAUGAAGGACGUGCUAAUCUGCGAUAAGCGUCGGUAAGGUGAUAUGAACCGUUAUAACCGGCGAUUUCCGAAUGGGGAAACCCAGUGUGAUUCGUCACACUAUCAUUAACUGAAUCCAUAGGUUAAUGAGGCGAACCGGGGGAACUGAAACAUCUAAGUACCCCGAGGAAAAGAAAUCAACCGAGAUUCCCCCAGUAGCGGCGAGCGAACGGGGAGGAGCCCAGAGCCUGAAUCAGUGUGUGUGUUAGUGGAAGCGUCUGGAAAGGCGCGCGAUACAGGGUGACAGCCCCGUACACAAAAAUGCACAUGCUGUGAGCUCGAUGAGUAGGGCGGGACACGUGGUAUCCUGUCUGAAUAUGGGGGGACCAUCCUCCAAGGCUAAAUACUCCUGACUGACCGAUAGUGAACCAGUACCGUGAGGGAAAGGCGAAAAGAACCCCGGCGAGGGGAGUGAAAAAGAACCUGAAACCGUGUACGUACAAGCAGUGGGAGCCUCUUUAUGGGGUGACUGCGUACCUUUUGUAUAAUGGGUCAGCGACUUAUAUUCUGUAGCAAGGUUAACCGAAUAGGGGAGCCGAAGGGAAACCGAGUCUUAACUGGGCGUUAAGUUGCAGGGUAUAGACCCGAAACCCGGUGAUCUAGCCAUGGGCAGGUUGAAGGUUGGGUAACACUAACUGGAGGACCGAACCGACUAAUGUUGAAAAAUUAGCGGAUGACUUGUGGCUGGGGGUGAAAGGCCAAUCAAACCGGGAGAUAGCUGGUUCUCCCCGAAAGCUAUUUAGGUAGCGCCUCGUGAAUUCAUCUCCGGGGGUAGAGCACUGUUUCGGCAAGGGGGUCAUCCCGACUUACCAACCCGAUGCAAACUGCGAAUACCGGAGAAUGUUAUCACGGGAGACACACGGCGGGUGCUAACGUCCGUCGUGAAGAGGGAAACAACCCAGACCGCCAGCUAAGGUCCCAAAGUCAUGGUUAAGUGGGAAACGAUGUGGGAAGGCCCAGACAGCCAGGAUGUUGGCUUAGAAGCAGCCAUCAUUUAAAGAAAGCGUAAUAGCUCACUGGUCGAGUCGGCCUGCGCGGAAGAUGUAACGGGGCUAAACCAUG